AGUCCUUCAUGUGAUGUUCACCUCCCACACCGCACGCUCACCUUGGAUCCAAGUUUGGUGCACAACCCUGUCAUACAGACUACAAUAGGUGGUUUCAACCCGUAGGUGACCUACGAUUUAUCGCAUAGCUUUCAUGUGAUCGUAGCACUUGAGCGUACUUAUUUACACCCAACCCUGUCGUACAUACCACAAUAGGUGAUUCACUUUCGUGUGCAGGAAUUGGUUUAUGAGCUAUAGAUUCAGCCAUACAGGUCACGUUAGGUGACUCCGACUGAUAUAUCAUUUUAUAUUGAUUCACAACACCUGACUUACAUAUUUAUUACUGAGAUACUUGACAUGGCACAUACUUUGGUUUUUGUUGCUCUCAAGCCUGAUUUCUAUAUACGUAAGUAUUAUUAUUUUCUAGGAAAUUAUACGGGUUUACGAUGAGUGGUUAUUAUUUUUGGAAAGAGAAAUGGUUUCAAAAAGCUUUUGUUUUUGCCCACUCACGUUUUCUGUUUUUCGCCCCUCCAGGUUUUAGCUGUUGAAAGUUCGUAUCGAUGAGGAUUCUUGGUGAAUCUCAGUAUAGGUGGCUACCUCUGAGGGUAUGAUCCUUAGUGACACUAUUGUACUUUACUUAUGCUCUAAUAUCGCGUGUGAAAUGGGUUCGUUCCCACUCACAACGCACUCUUGUCUUUAGGCACUUUUAGGUUUAAAUUUAUUCACAUUUUCCACAUCACUAUAAUUUAUGGCUUCGUCACCUUCCAGGUGUUGGCUAGCCCAGCUCGAUGCGAAGUCUUAGUGGACAUUCCGGGUCAGGGUGUGUCAUAAAAUCUUAAUCCUAAAAUUAAAAAAAAUUAAAAUAAAUCCUAAACCUAUGAUUUUAAAGUGAACAUAUGAACACCGUAAACUAAUUUAACAAAUUAAUUGUACUAUGUGAUUUGAUGAAAGUUAAGCACUCAAAUUAAACUCUCUUGUUGUCAAAUCGUAGAAUAAAUGCAAGUAGGGAUCGUUCUAAACCGGGGAUUAGGAGGGCUUGCUAAAACCUCUCAACCGACUCAAAAACACAAAAAAUAAAGUUAAAAACGUUUGAAUAGACCCAAGGGACUCAAAACAGGUUCAAAAGACUUAAAACAACUUAAAACACUCAAAACUGCCUAAAAACACAAACUGGGUAGUUUCUGACUCUAAACACAACUUUGGACGAAAAUUGGGUUUUGGCUUGACCUAAAACAAUAAAAAACACAAACAAAACAGAUUUGAAACACUUUGAAACAAGAAAAUAAAAGGGGGUUUUGAUUUGGACGAAUUUGAAACAAACAAACAAACAAGUAUGAAAACUAGACAGAUUGUAAAACGAAUUUGAGAAAUAAGAUGAUGGAUGGAUUAGUUAGAGGUCUAUUCUUCACACAUGACACACUUGCACAUGAAUUGAUUUCCAAUUGCUUUUCAAUAAAUUAUGAUGCUCAACACCCCAGAUUAAACGUGAUGCACAAAUUAACCCUCAGAUUUUCCUUUACUCAUUGGAUUGGAUGAAUGCAUGCAACAACCCAAAUCAUUCUCUAAAAGUCCCCUAAAUGAAUGCAUAAUAGAGAUACAGUCAGAGAUCAUUACGUUUCAUGAAAAUCAUAAGUGUUGACGAGGCAAUUGUAACUAUGAAUGCAUGAUACGUUUGCCAAGAAUUCAAUUAACGCGAUUGUGACAAGCAACCUUCACUACUAAUGAAUCCUUAAUAAACAUACAAGAAUCAAUUAUGAAUAAAACAGAUAAUUGAAUUGCAAUCACAACUUAACAAAUCACAGUUGGAAGAAAUCAAUUCAUAUCUCAAGCAUGUUCAUGGCUUCAAACUUCCCCCUAACUAAAUAAGGGUUUAGCCACUCAUGAUUACAGCAAAAUUAAAAAGUAAUAACAAAGUAAACAUUGAAAACAAGAACGAAGUACACCUAAAACGCUCCAAUCUACAAGCAUGAAACGCCAAGGCCCUUCUUCUUCCCCACCUUGCUGCGACACAAGAGUCCAAGGAUGUGUAUGGAUGUAGGAAAGGGUCAGAGAUGGGUUUAGGUUGGAUGGAGAUUGCGGCAAGGGAAGAAAGAUGGCUGGAAUUGUGUUUAGAUAUGUAGAAUGGUGAAUGGGGUGCGGCUGAUUGUGUUUCUAAGUGAAUGGGUGAUAUCUACAACACAACCCUAAAAUAUGUAUAUAUAGGCAUCACAAAACCCUAGGGAAAUCAGAUUGGGACUUGGAAUUAGCAAAAAUUAAGGAAUAAAGGCCUAGGGUGCGGCAUAAAGUUUGGAAUAGGAAUGUGGUCCAAUUAAUUUCUGAAAAGGAUUUGUAGAACCCAAAUCCACAAGGAAGAGGGCCUAACAAAUCAGAAUCCAAGAGGGAAAGGGCUUGAGAGGUGCGGCUGAGAGGAUAAGGGCAAUGGAAUGCCUUGCAAGGCAAGGAAAAAGGGUUCUAGAAGGGUUUAGGUGCGGCAAGGUUGGAAAGUGUUCUAGAACCUUUGGUUUGUGUCUAGAAUGCAUAUAAGGCCUUCAAUGUUACUGGAACAUUAUGGAUAUUUAGGAUUAGGAAAGGUCAAACCAAAAUAGGAAACUUUGGCUUAACUUUCCUACUUCAAGUAGGAAUCCUUGUUGGGGUAGGAAUCCUCCUUCUUCUAGGAAUCCUUCGUUUAUUAGGAAUCCUUACAUAUUCAAGUCUUCAAUUUCGUCCAUUCCUUUUGCUCCAAGCAUGUGCUAUUCAUUCCAAGCCCAAUUUUGCUCCAAAAUGCACCUUCUUGCAUACUUUGUCCUUAGAACCUGAAAACACAUGAAAAUGGCUUAAAAGACUAAAAUAACUAAGAACUAACAAUGUAAAUGCAUAAGAAUAAGCUAACUAAGUCACAUAAAUAUGCUCCUAUCAAAUUCCCCCACACUUAGCUUUUGCUAGUCCUCGAGCAAAAUGAAAUAAACACAAAAAAAUAAAGUAAACAAAACACACUCUAAUCCUUCCAACAUUUAUCUCAGGGAUUUCCAAUGCACAUGACAUGUUAAAGAUCAUCAUUCCCACAGAUUUUAGUCAUCUUCACACUUGAGCACAUCUUAAUCACAGUCACCACUUACUAGUUCACAUUUAACCAAUUAAAACGAUGUUUUCAAUGUAGCAACAUGCCUUAGAGAAUUUGCUCAAUUCCUUACAAGAUACUCUCUAUUUUCACUCACAUUUUCUGACUACGCACCCUACACUAGUUAUAUGUGAGAAGAUUAAUGUAAACAUGAAAACUAGUACUCACAUAUGUGUAAAACAAAGAAAGCAAUUUUCUGGAGUUAUUAAGCAUGUUUAGAUAUGAUUUCAUGAAUGGAAUGCUACUACUUAGAUGUGAGAACCAGUGACACCAUAUGCUCAUGCCCAUUUCAAACUCCACAAAUUGAAACACACAACACUCAAGAUUGAAGUCAAAGGUUGUAACGGGCUUGGAGGUAAUGGCUAACAAAGAAAGGAUAGGGAUUACAAACGUUCUUAAAGCAAUAGCAAGCAAAGUAAUGAAAUCGAUACUUGGAAUUCACUUUAGAAUGUAGAAAUUAACUUUUAAACACAAGGGGAAGAUUCAUGCAACACUUAGGGCCGAAUUCAACUUUUUAGACCCUUUUUUCAACAACUAACACUUUAAAGCUCUUUUUUCACAUAUUUUUCACUCUUUUUCAUUCCUUUCACAACUUUUCUUUUCUUCUUUUUUUUUCUUUCUAUUUUUCCACGAAUUUUCUUUUCUUUUUCUUUUCUACCCGUGCCUCAUUAAAGACUUUGGCACACACACACACAAGAAUCACUUCACUUGCUUUCUGCAAUACAUUGAUAAAAAAGGAAUUCAUUCUAAGUCAUGCUUUACUAUGUUUCAAGAACAAGGGUAUGGAUGGUCCUAAACUAGGCUAGGUAAGGAUAGUGUGGGUUAACAAAGAACAAAGGCUUAACAAGGCUUAAUGGGGUUAAACUUAAACACAUAAUGAAAUAGGGUCACGUCAAUUUGGCUUUGGUGGUCACUACACAACUUCAUCUUGAAUAUGAGUUAUGCAAAUCAAAAGCAUGCUUUGAAUAAAACGGGCAUGAGUUGUAGCAUUUGGAACUAAAUGAUUAAACGCCUUCUAAGUAGCAACCAAGCAAAGAAUAAUGAGAUCAUGCAACGACUUUAGAAAACAACAAUGCACAAAUUAUUAACUCUCCAAAGAACGUUUAGGCUCAAGUCUCACAAGGUUGUAGCAUUAAUUUGAGUUCCUUCCUUCAAGCAUAUUACAAAAACUGAUUUUAUCCUUUGUGAUUACAUGUGAAUUCAUAAGUUAUAACCACAACCAAGCAUAAACCAAAGAGUAAAUCAGACUUCUCUCCAUAUGUAUAACUCUCUUUAAUAGUCAUGCAAUUUUAAAAAACAGAAUCCUCAUCAUUGUGUUGGAAGGUACCCUAACACACAAGCAAACACACAAAAACAACUCAUUUUGGGUUUUUCAAAAUAAUUUUUCCUAUUUUUAUCAAAUUUUUGGAUUUUUAUGUCACGUGAUGCACACCUCCCGCACCUUACACUCACCUUGGAUCCAAGGCAGGUGCACAGUCCUGUCGUAUAGACCACUAUAGGUAGUUCUGACUCGUAGGUGACCCGCGAUUAUUCACACAGCCUUCACAUGAUCAUAGCACUUGAGUGUAUUUAUUUACACCUAGUCUUGUCGUGCAUACCACUUUAGGUGGUUCCGACUCGUGUGCGGGUAUACUUAUUGAGCUAUGGAUAAGUCAUAUAGGUCACAAUAGGUGACUCCGACUUAUGAGCUAGCAUAUAUGAUAAAAUAUGUGAUGAGCUAGCAUAUGUGAUGAAAUAUGUGAUGAGCUAGCAUAUGUGAUGAGAUAUGGAUAAGUUGUUGAUGUGAUAAAUAAUAGCACUCAAAUUAAACCCUCUUAUUGACAAUUGUAGUAUAUAUGCAAGUAGGGAUCGUUUUAGGCCGGGGAUUAUAAGGGAUUGCUAAUCUACUAUAAACUGACUAAAAAACACAAAACUAGGCUAAACACACUUAACUAGACUCAAAGAACUCAAAACAAACUGAAAAGACUCAAAACUAACUAGAAUGACUCAAAACAACACAAAGCAAGCAAAUAGACUCAAAACAGACUCUAGGGAGUUAUUUGGACGAAUUCUAACUUUAAUUUGACUCAAAACAAUAAAAGACACAAAGUUGGACAUAUUCUAACUAGUUUAACACUUUAAAGUAAAGGGGAUUGGGUUUUGGACGAAAUUAAAGUGAAAACAAGUGAAUUAAAGACUCAAACAAAGUUGGACGAAUUUGGUGAAUUAAAUAGAUGAUGGGCUAGCUAGAGGGUCCUUCUCCACACAUGACACACUUGCAUACAAAUUGAUCACCAGUUGCUUUUUCGAUAAACCAUGAAUGACAAUGCCCCAGAUUUACCGUGCCAUCACUAAUUAACCCUCAGAUUUUCCUUAAAUCAUUGAAUUAGAUGGGAUACACAUCAUCAACCCAAAUUAUUCUUCAAUAGUCCCCUACAUGCACAUCAUAAUAGAGAUACAAUCAAAGAUCAUUAAGCUCUAUGAAAAUCAUAAGCAUUGACAAAGCAUUCAUAGCUAUGACAUCAUGAUACUCAUGCUAGGAAUUUAACUUAACGUGAUCAUGACCAGUGACCUUCACUACUUGUGAAUAUAAGUUUGUAACGAUUAUGUAAAACUCCCUUAUAUUCUAGCAUCAGAUUCAAACAUGCAAACUAAGUAGGCCUCCUUAAUCAACAUACAAGAAUAAGUUUUGAAUAAAACAGUUAAGCAAAUUGCAUUCACAUUUUAUGAAAUCACAACUGGAAUUAAUCAAUUCAUAAUGCAAAUAUGUACAUGGUUUCGAAAUUCCCCUAGCUAAAAGGGGUUUACCUCCUCAUGUUCACAAAACUAAGAUAAACAAACUUAAACAUUGAAAUCAAAAGAUAGAUUACACCUAAAAAUGAUCCAGCAAUCCAAACUUGAAUAGCAAGCACUCCAAGGGUCCUCCUUCUUCUCUUUGUUACGGCACAAGGGUUAGGUGAAGGUUUGAGUGGUGAUUUGUAUGGAAGAAUGGUUGAAAGUGUAAAUGGUAGUGAAUGGAUGAUUGGAAGGCUGCGGCAGAGGGUAAUAUAUAUAGUAGAGUAUGUAAAAACCCUAGGGAAUAAAGGCUAAGGAGUGGCAGAAAUAAAGGAAAAAGGUUAAGUAAGUUUUUAUUAUUGUUUUAGGAUUUAUAACUCUAAAUCUGCUAGGAAAAGACUAAGUCAAAGUCAAAAUCCAAAGGGAAAAGGAAAUACGAUGCGACAAAGGGUUUAGGAAAGGGAAAAGGCAUGGCACCACCUUAGGGUAGGAUUAGGUCUUCUAGAAACAUAUAAUUAAGUGUCCCAAAGUAUUUAGGAACCCUUCUUGUCACUGAAUCCUUGGUAAUUUAGGAUUAAGAAAGGUAAGGACAAGAUAAGGCAACUUUGACUAGUCUUUCCUCUUUCUUGAUGGUUUCCUUGUCUUCCUUGGCACAUUCCUAGCUUCUUUAGAUAUUCAAUUUCGUCCAAUCACCUUGCUCCAAGCAUGUGCUAUCCAUUCCAAGCCCAAAAAGCUCCAAAAUGCACCUUCUUGCUACUUUAGCCCUUUGGACCUAUAAACACACGAAAAUAGCUUAAAAUACUAAAAUAACUAUGAACUACUAACAUAAAUGCAAGAAAAUAAACUAACUGAGUCGCAUAAAUAUGCUCCUAUCAUUCGUAUAGGUCACAAUAGGUGACUCCGACUUAUAUGCUAGCGUUGAUUGAUCAGGGUGCAGUCUUACAGGUCACCAUGGGUGACUUCGACUUACGUGCUAGUGUGGGUUAUUAAUCACAUGAUUAUUGAUAUUGCUAAUGAGUUGCUGAUGCAAAAAUUAACUUAACACACAAAUUUAACCCUCUUUUGACAAUUGUAGUAUAAGUAUAAGUAGGGAUCGUUCUGGACCGGGGAUUACGAGGGCUUGCUAAUAACCUCUAAACUGACUCAAAAUCAUAAAACUAAACUUAAAAAUACUUAACAAGACUCACAAGACUCAAAGCAAACUUAAAAUACUCAAAACAACUAAAUAAACUUAAACUAGACACUAGGAAUGACUUUGGACGAAAAUUGACUUUUACUUGAAUCAAAACAUUUAAAAACACAAAUUAAAACAGAUUCUAGCUAAUUAGACACUCUAAAGUAAAGGGGGAUUGAGUUUUGGACGAAGUUGAAACAAACAAACAAGUAUGAAAAA
rnacentral:lncRNA from 1 species